UUUCAUUUGCGCCCAGGUAGCUUCAGCCU
rnacentral:piRNA from 1 species